rnacentral:misc_RNA from 1 species
GGGGUCAAUUCUUUUCUCCAAAUGGAUUCUGUAUACAUUGAUUCAUUCUGAAAGCAAAAGGAAGGAGGGAGUGUUGUGAUGUGGGAGAGUAAUGGUGGUAAAAAUAGGUUCUUAUCCUAGGUAUGAGAGGAUUCACCCUGAUUCUUGGCAGCCAAACAAUUCAAUUAUAUGUGUGUUUGUUUUUUGAGAUCCAUCUGUGUUUUUGCCAUAUAAAAGGAUUGGCAGAUCAGGGCUUUUCGCUUUGUAUUUUUAAAUGGAAUUCUCUUUUUUUUUUUUU